CUUUUUAACAUGCAAAUCAUCGAAUACCUUAGUGCUGAAGAUUAUGUGACAAAGUUUAGUGGUGUCAAGUGCCAAUUCUCGUCAUGUAUUAAAUUUAAUCAGUAGAGAGUCUUGAUUAUUAAUCAGUUUAUUUCCCAUACUGUUAGCAUGGAAUUAAAGGAGGCCAUCAUCUACACGAAAUCUUAAUGGUGCGAUUUAACAGGACUAUCUCCCCACCACAUACUGCAGAAUAAAUAAUAUUCACAUCAAAAUACCAAUUCAAGAUUGAGGUUUGCAGGUUCUCACAACACAUCUAUGGCCACCUUUUUUUCAUGUCUUCAAAUGUGGCUUUGCUUUGAUGGCUGUCUUGGCUUUCAGCAAUUAAGUGACUGCAAACCUACCAGUGAUGGUGAUGCUGAUACUGAUGUUGAUGUGAUAAUAUGUGCCAUAAAAAGGAAUAUGGCGCAAAUUGAAAGGAUUGAAGCUGUGGGGGCCUUGAAUUAUUGUGUCAAUUCAGUAUUUUAACUUCUAGCAAUGUCUGGGAGUUGGAGUCCACAGCCAUCAAGCAGUGAAUGAAUAAAAAGCUGUGAAUGAAGAAUGUUAUGCCUCAAUAAUGUUCUGAAUAUGAUUGAACAAGUCUCUGCAUCCAUAUCCAGGUUUUAGUAUUCCAGGUCUUGUGAUCAAAUAAAUUUGCAUUCUUGAUGGAAAUUUUUGAAAAAUUUCUUGUUCUUGAUCUGUUGGCUCUGGGCAAAAUGAAAUUCACUCAGAAUUGUACUGUUUGAUUGCUGAC